GAUGGCGGCUGAGCAAGAUAAACCAACAUUGAAAUCCCUUAUGAAGGCUAUCCGUGAAUCGAAAGAAGAGCUCACUGGGCAUAUUAAAAAGUAAACGGAUAAUAUCCAACAGUCGCUAACAAAAAUAGAACUCUCAUUGUCAACGCUGACGUACAAACACGUAUAUUAAAAAUGGAGAAGGAAGUAACUGCUGAUGGACAAAACCGACGAUUUGGAAAACUGGAGCAGGAGGUCAAAUGUCAAAAUCAUAAAUAUCCCAGAAAAGUCAGAAGGUACCGACAUGGUUGGUUAUGUGGAACGACUAAUCCCGCGGCUUCUUGGGGAGGAACACUUCCCAACCCCAGUUACUAUCGAGAGGGCACACCAACUGGGGAGACCGUCGGAGCGGACCAGACCUAUCCUCGUGAAAUUCCUGAACUUCAGGGACAAAGGCAAAGUACUUCGUUUGGCCAGGAGCAAGGGAACGAUGCAGUUGGAUAAUAAUCGAGUCUCAUUUUACCCGGAUUACAACAUUGAGAUCCAACGCAAAAUGCUCGCUUUCAACGAGGUGAAGAAAAAACUACGGGAGAAAAACAUUGAAUACGCCAGCCGCUACCCUGCUAAACUGAGGAUUCGACACGGAGGUGGAUUUAAACUGUUUUCAGGUCCAUCUGAGGUGGAGACCUUCCUGUCCACUGGUCGGGAUGAGGGAUAGAAUAUUUCCUUUGCAAGAUGACCACGUACCAAGACUGUUAACGAUUUUGGCCUUUUUCCUCUGCUGUGGGAAGAUUUUUGACCUGUUGUUGAACCCUGCCUGCCUCUGACCCUGCCUCCAGUUUUCUGUCUGUUGGAUUUACAUUGCCUGAGAAGCCCCCGUGCAUGACCCUGGAUUGUUCAACGACUUAGUCUCUGGUUUGUGGAAUUUGUCCCUGUCAUCUGGUUGUCCCCACAGCCCCCACGGCCCACUCACCCUACCCUCCCCAAGGCUUCCCAACCCCUAUGGUUCCCCCAUUCCUAAUUCACCAGUGUGACCUCGCCCUGUGGAGCCCCUUCUUCACCCUUAUUUUGUAAUAAACUUUUGUCUACUGAACACUUGUCUUGGCUGCGUUUUGGGUUCUGGCUGAUUUUGCAUACUCGUUACAGUACGAUCUCGCCAGAAUGAACCCACAGCCAAAUCCUGAUUGGUGUUCUAAGGUGGAGGGGGCCAUUACUGGCCUAGAAAGAARUGUCCAGGAGCUUUUACAGGGACUUUCGUCUCUAAGGAAUUUUCAAGCCCAAGCUAGACCCUCCGUUGCACCACCACGUCCUCUAGCUGUCACUCCCUCAGUUAACGGUAACAACGAACCUAGGAUUCCCCCCCCCCAGAGCGUUUCGAUUGGGAUCCCGAACAGUGCAGACCUUUUUUAACCCAGUGUUCUCUGCUUUUUGAACUCCAGCCCUCUGCCUUCCGUUCUGAGUGAGCCAAGGUGGCCUACACCAUCUCUCUGCUAUCUGAUAAGGCUAAGCAGUGGGGAACUUCUGAGUGGGAGAAUGAUGCCAACAGCUGUGACUCAUUUUUUGAUUUUUCUGAWGAAAUGAAGAGGGUUUUUGAUCCAGUCCGUCCUGAGAGGGAGGCUGCCAGGAGACUGUUUUCUCUCAAACAGGGCUCUCGACCUGUUACUGACUACAUAAUCAAUUUCCAUGCCUUGAAGUCCAGUUGCCUUUGGAAUAAUGAAGCCCUGUUUGACGUUUUUUACCAGGGCCUGUCAGAUGAAAUCAAGGAUGAGAUUGCUACCCGUGACCCUCCCAAGACCCUCAAGUCCUUAGAAAGGCUUGCCACACGGAUUGACCAACGCCUUCGUGAACGUAAGAGGGAGAGGUCUUCAGCUAAUUAUCAAAGAAGGGUUUCAACUGUCCAGGUCAGUCCUUGCAGCAUGCCACAAGUCUCCACAACCCCCCCUGAUGGCACUGAGGAGCCCAUUCAGUUGGGUAGGACCAAGCUCUCUGCUGAAGAGAGGGAGAGGAGGUUCAGAAAUCACCUGUGUUUCUACUGUGGAGAAAGAAACCAUCGCACUCUUAACUGUCCAUCAAAAGGACAGGUUCAGUAAAGCUUGGGGGGUCUUUGCUGAGCCCUAUCCUCAGAUCUCAGAACCCUCCACACAAUCAGUGCACCAUCAGAUUUCCUGACUCUCCUGAGGGGAGGGUGGUUCCUGUUUUCAUUGAUUCUGGGGCUGAUGCUGACUUUAUUGAUGUUAGCCUAGCACAUGCGCUCGCCUUGGAGUUGGAACUUCUAGAUGAACCACGUGAUAUUUUUGCUAUUGAUGGGCAUCUGAUUGAUCAAAUAACCCACUGCACUAAGCCUGUGUCUGUACUGAUUUCAGGAAACCACCACGACGGGAUCACGUUUCUGCUGACCAGGUCUCCUGAGAUUCCUGUGAUUCUAGGACGCCCGUGGCUAAUAAAACACAGUCCAGUCAUCAAUUGGCUCACUGGUGAGGUUCAUCUUGCUCCACUUCUUGUCUGAAGGAAGCCCCCAUCAUGACAUCGCCCUGCGAAGUUAACAAUGACUAUCCAGAUUUGUCUAAGGUUUAUCAUAAUCUGUGUGAGGUAUUUAACAAAUCUAAGGCCACUUCUCUGCCUCCCCAUAGAGAGUACGACUGUGCCAUUGACCUCCGCCCUGGGACCACCCCACCUAGGGGCAGAUUGUAUUCCAUUUCUGGUCCUGAAAGAGAGGCUAUGGAGGAAUAUAUUUCCGAUUCCCUCAAAGCAGUCUGUAACCUUUUUGGGUUUUAUCAUUGCUCUGGCAGGAUUUCCAUGGAUCCAUCAAAGGUGGCAGCCAUCUUGGAGUGGCCCGAACCAUCCAGUGUGAAGGAGCUUCAACGGUUUCUUGGGUUUGCCUAUUUUUAUCAUCGCUUUAUCAAGGGUUAAAGCUCAGUGGCUGCCCCUCUUCAUCAACUCACUUCAACCAAGACUCGGUUCAAGUGGUCGCCAGAGGCAAAACAUGCUUUUGGUAUAACUAAGCAGUGGUCCAGUCAGGAUUCUGGUGGCCCACUCUGAGAAAGGACACACAGGAGUUUGUGUCACCUGCUCCAGAGUAAAGCCCUCCAGACGCCCCCACUCGGUCUACUGAGGCCUCUGCCGAUUCCUCAUCGACCAUGGUCCCACAUCUCUAUGGAUUUUGUCACCGGCCUACCUCCCUCUCAAGGCUUUCACCCUCGGAUGGAUGGCCAGAUGGAGAGGAUGAAUCAGGAGGUUGAGUCCAAGUUGCGCAUCCUUUGCAUGGAUGCUCCUAGUCACUGGUCCCAGAACUUACCUUGGGUAGAGUAUGCCAUCAAUGGAUUACCAUCAAGCGCCACGGGCCUUUCACCAUUUCAUGUUAUUUAUGGCUAUCAGCCGCCCAUUCUCUCUGUUCAGGAGGGAGCCGCCCAGGUUCCUGCUGCCCAUUUAUCAACGCGUCGCUGUCUCAGAGUCUGGAGAAGGGCCAGAGCUACACUCUGCAAGACCUCUGCUGUUUAUACCCGGAAUGCCAAUCGCCACAGAUCCCAAGCCCCUAGAUAACUGGUCAGUCAGAAGGUGUGGUUAUCCACCAAGGAUCUGCCCAUCAAGGAACUCAGACAACUGGAGUCUAAGAGGAUAUUCAGUUCCUAGAGCCUAAAACAAAAUUCAAAACCCUGUUGAUGCUUCUGACUCAUGCCAUCUUUGCGGAAAAAAAGGAGAAGAAAACAGCUUUUCAUCUGAGAGUACUCCCAGAGAGCACACUGAUCUGUGGCUCCAAUCUGUAACAAAUAUAUCAAAUUGCAUGCAUACUGGUGCUGGGAAGACCUUAGUUUGGGGAAAACAAUAACCUAUUAUUUUUAAAUGACUGAGUGGACUAUUUAAGAAUAUUAGGAAACCAUCAGAAGAAGGGUCCGCGGCUGCUUGAAACCAUCAUAAGAGGAAAAGCAUCUUCAUGUGAUGAGCCACAAAUAGCUGAAGUGACUGAGACGACCUAAUUCUAUCUAUGACUAAAGAGGACAGGACUCAGGGAAGGAGAAGAGACUCCAUUCAUCACAUGCCUGAAGAAACUAGGAACAGCUCAAAUCUCCCAGGCCUCCAGCAGACGACCCAACCUGGUGAUAGCUCAUCAUGAUGUUUCAGAAUAGCACAGAAACAUGGGCAAAGACAUUUACCAAAUUCAUUUUGGUUAUUUGGGAUUUGUAACCUCCGGUUUUCACAGCAAUAGGCAGUUUUGAUGGAAUCAGACAAAUAGGAAAAUCUUGUGCAAAUUUAUUUCCUAUCAGCCCCUCCCACUUGGACAGACAUGAAAUUUUGUUCUCAGACUCCAUAUCUCUGACAAACAAAUGUGUGCAACAGUUCCAACAUAG